rnacentral:lncRNA from 1 species
GUCUUUUCCCGCCGUGCCCCGCGCGCGGCCUUUCACGCCGGGAUCCGGGUCCCGGUGCUUCUCGGUUCAUUCCCAGCUGGGUCCGGGCCCGGCCAGACUGGGUGGAAAUCUGGCUGACCUUGGUGGUCUGUCUUGGCCAGCUGGAGCAAAGGGAUGCCAGGGGACGGGUCUCGGUGCAGUGACUGCCAUUAGCUUGGGGCCGCAGAAAGUUUCUCCCCUUUCUCGGGCUCCUGCCAGGCCCUUGGCUUUCAGAGCCAGGCCCGAUUUCUAGAUAACAUUUAAGUUUGCAGAAAAGGGGAUGCCAAGUCACGGUGGUCACGGCUGUGGGAUGCAGCCUCUGAGAUUUGUAUUAAUUUUUGUGAGCCGGGGAAAGGCCUUGCUGCUUUCUCCGCCAGGACUGAUGUGUCUUCCCAAGAUGAAAGUGCCUGGGAUGCUGCUGCUUUCUCCCCUGAUGGGAAGUGGAAGCCAUGAUUCUGCAGUCCUGGCCAUAAAGCUGUGAAUUGUACUAGCUGGCACAGCCAGUACUGCCCUACUGAGUUCAGUGAACUGUCCUUCUGAUCUACACUGAGAGAGCCUGGCUGUGGUGCAAUGCUCACAGUGAAGCCGUCUGCAUAGCUGAGCUAACAAUUCAAACUUCAGCUCUCAUUUCAAUAAAUUACCUUAUAAAACACUCACUGACC